rnacentral:tRNA from 1 species
AAGGACUUAGGUUAAAUUAAACCACGGGUUUUCAAAGCCUUAAUUGGGAGUUAAAGUCUCUCAGACCUUG